GAUUUUUGAGCUUGCUUUGCUUGAUCUUCUGCUUCUUGGUUGUUGCACCUAUAUUUUUCUACUUAUUUAAUUCAUUCUUUGCUACAUUUUGCAGAUUUAAAAUUAAUCUGUUAAAUAUAUUAUGUUUUUGUGAGUUAUACAGUGCCCGACGUUUUUCUACUUUUUUCUAAUCCACUGUUUGCUGUCUUACUGCUAUAUAAAUAACACAUACAUAGUAUCCUAUUUUUCUGUCUCAUAUGCCUGUACAAAUAUGUGCUAUAUUAGUGUUUCUUUGAUAUAUAACUCCCAUUAUUGUCAAAUCUUGCAUCUUAAUAUCUGUUUUUACAGGCUCAUUCCCAAGUACUUACUAGACACAUUUCCUUUUUUACUUUGGCAUUAGGUUUGUUGUACUUUCAUCUAAAAAAGAAAUCAUGGGCCUUGGAAGCUGGUUGAGCAGUCAAUUGGGUCUAUAACAAAUGUUUAUAGCAUUUACCGUACAAUAAGCAUUGCAAUAUCUGCACUUUGAGAAGAUUUUGCCUUUUAUACAUAUGCAGUUUUCAGUUUCUCAUUUUGCCCUACUGUUAACAUGGGCAAUUGUUUUGUAUAGGUUCUUGCAUUGCUGAAAAAAUGUUUGGUAUAGAUUCAAGAGAGUUAAAUGCUCCCUCCGAGGCAAGUUACCCGAAGGGCCAACUGGAACGUAAUACAAAGCGCUUGGCAGAUGUCGUCUCAGAUGCUUCAAAUUUUCAGUCAUUCAUUAUGAUAAACUUUGGAAGCUUUAGCAACAAUCUUUCUACUCCCUCUGGAGAGUUUGUUUCUGGCUGGUGCUCGUCUGACAUUCUAGUUUGUGAAGAGGAUGCACCAUUAAUAUGAGAAGGAUCUGUUUCUCAACAUGUUCAUACGGGUCAUAGAGAAGGACUAUUAGAAACUGUCAGAUGGCAAAGUGUCCACAGUUAGCAAUAACUUGUGUUCACUGUUAUGUCAUGCAGAGUCUUUAGUUCCAGGAUUUUUGAAUGAAGAUGAUGUACAACUGCUGAGGGAAUACGCUUCAUAAAAAGGAAUUUUAGUGCCAGAAAAGGAAGGUAGGAAGGUAAGACUGAUCUUGUAAAGAUGACAGGAAAGAUGGUAGUAUAUAUUUAAAGAAAACAAUUUAAUCGAUCACUCAAAAUUAAAUGUUGGAAUGUUUCGAAGAUGAUCUAAAUUGACAGAGUAUUAUGUUUUUUUUUAUUCUGAUAAAGAUGCAAUGGUAGAGGUUUGUUUUCAGCAUUUUGGUAUGUGAGAAGGAACUAGUUUCCAGCAGGUGGGAAAUCCGAGCUUUUAUUGUAGUCGUCAAAUCCUGGGUCUUGUGAAUGUGCUUAUUUGUCUAAGUUGUUUGAGGGCGAGCAAGACUUCUGUUUUGGGGGUAUUUGAUGUGUGUGGUUAAUUUAACUUGUUAUUAUACAAUGGAUGGAAUGGAGGGUAGCAUACUACUACUCCAGUUCAAUUUUGACCACCUCACUAUUAAUUCCAGUGAGUUGAAGGGUAUAAAGCUGCAACUAAUAUUUGUAUUUUUAUAAACCUAACUUUAGUUCGAUAUUUAGUGUCAUUUCAUACUAAAGCCAUCAAUGAAGAACUACUGCAAAAUCUUUCUGAUGCUCUACACUUGUCGGUACCUGAUAAAAUUAGGGUUGGAUUUCUUUGUCUAAUUUUGAAGAACACGAUAUCUUCACGAUACCAGGAUGUGUGGUUAGUUAUUCUCUUCUUUGUACAUACAUUUAGAUAUAAUUUUUUGUUUAGUUGUAGGAAGUGGAAUACAUACAACAGUCUAUUAUUUUUGUAUCCUUGGAAUUCUUCUACCUGUUGCACUAAACCUGUAACCCUUUUCUUGGCUGUGUAUCCUUGGAAUUCUUCUACCUGUUGCACUAAACCUGUAACCCUUUUCUUGGCUGUAUGCAGGAAAGAAUUUCUGUUUGAUUUAGAUUACUAAGCUGUGUGCCAAUUCUGCUGCGUUUGAGGCUACUGAUAUAAUUUAGCAUAUUCUCGUGUCACUCUUAGUCGAUUUGAAGGCCUCUAUAAGCAUUUAGAUUCAUUCUACUUGAAGGCCUCUCUAAGCAUUUAGUUUCAUUUUUUCAAAAUGUUAUCUCUUGUGCAACUAAGGUGUUUUCUGUGAUAGUUCCUAGUGCAUAAUAGAGUAGAAUGUACUUGGUCGAUCUGAAGGUCGGGGGUGGCAGGUCGGGGGGAAGGUGUGGAAAACAGAAGGCACAAGUCUAUUUAUUGAUUUUUGACCUUGCUUUGCGUGGUCUUCUGCUUCCUAGUUGUUGCCCCUAUAUUUUUAUAUUUAUUUUAUUCAUUAUUUGCUGCCUUUUGCAGCUAAUUAUUGAACUGUUACAUAUAUUAAAUUUUUGUUUGUUAUACUGUGACUGACGUUUUUCAUCUUUUUCUAAUCCACCUUUUGCUACCUUGCAGCAUAAUUAAUUAAUACAUACAUAGCAUCAUACUUUUCUUUGUCUAUGCCGUGUACAAAUAUGUGCAAUAUUAGUGUUUCUUUGAUAUGUAUACCCAUCGAUUGUCAAUUCUUGGCUUCUUAAUAUAUCUGUUAACUAGACACAUUUCCUUUUUACUCUGGCAUUCAGUUUGCUGUACUUGCAUCUAAAAAGAAAUCAUGGGCCUUGGAAGCUGGUUGAGCACCCAAUUAGUGUCACGUAAAGAUACUUUCUAUGAGGUUAGUGUUGCCACUACUGUGGCAGGGUGACUGAAUUUUAAUAUUUUUGCAAUGCCGGAAUGGAAACUGCAGCUUGUUGUUACUAUGUAGUAAAUACUUCAAUUACAAUGGAUGGAAUCUAGACUACUUCGAUUUCUAUAUAUUUAGUCAAGUUCCUCAACAAUUUAAUAUGACUUAAUAUCUCUUAUAUGCCAGUUAAGCAGUUUAAUACGUAGUCUACUAUAUUUGAGUUUGUUAUCUUUACUGUCCGUUUGAUGAUUAUGAUUGAUACAACAAAUUUUGGUUUACAAAUUAGUAGCAUUGUAAAAUACUAUUCAACCUAACUAAGUUGAAUAUUACCCUGUUAUAAUCAGUUUGUCUAUAAUGUUUAUCCUUUGUGAAUGCUUCUGCUUCAGGAUCAGUCAUUAAACAUCAAUGUGUGACUCACCGUACAUGGGGUAUUGCUUUACGUGCUAUUUUAGAUGCUUUGAGGAAGCCUGCAGAUUCAGAAAUUUCUUCCUUCCUAGUUUAUCAGUUAAUGUUAUUAUUGUGAAUUUCAGUCUUACCUUGGAUUUAUAACAUUCUGAUGUUUUCCUUUGAGAGUAUGGCAUUGGAGCAGUUUGUGGACCAUCUCAUUGAGUGGCCACAGUAUAGAGAGGGCACUCAACAGUAUUUCAGCGGCUUAUACUGAACCUGAUGGUGGCCAUAGUGCCAAUACUGCUCACCGACGCGGUCAUAUUCAAUCUUCAGCUCCACAUAUAGAGCAUUUUGUCUCGAUUAGCAAUUCCCUCUUCGAUCCCACUGCAAAAGAGACCACCAAGUUCUCUGAGUUCACUCCUAAUUACAUGAAGCCAUCACAACACACCUACCCUUCCUAAGGCA